UAUAUAUAUAUAUAUAUAUAUAUAGAGAGAGAGAAUUAGACUGGAAUACUAUUAAUAGUAAAACCCUCUUUUUGCUAUCAAGUUUUUAACCCUUGAAUGAAAAAUUGUAGGGUUGGGAUGAUAUUAGUUAGUUAGAGUUGAGUAGUCCCCCUAGGGUUGAGUUGUCCCCACUGGGUUAUAGUAUUUAAUCCAAUGGUUAGAAAUGAUGAAAAGAGUUGAUCCAAAGGCUAAAAAACUGGUAACAACAAUAAGAUUUUGCUACUAAUAGUAGCCCAGUCCAACUCAUAUAUAUAUAUAUAUAUAUAUAUAUAUAUGGCGUGUUUGGUUCGAAGUCGGAGUUGGAAUCGGAAUCAGAAUCAAAAUAAGCUGGAAUCAGAAUCGGAAUGACUCAUUAUCUAAUUCUGUUUGGUUCAUCAUUUGAAUCGGAAUCGGAAUAAAUCAUUUCCAUUGUCGGUGUUUGGUUCAGAUGGAUAUAAAAACAUAAUCAAAUUAAUAUACUAACAUUAUCUUUAUAAUAUAGUAAUUUAAAUUCAAAUUAAAUAUUAAAUAUUAAAAAUUUAUAUCAAAAUUUUGAAAUAAUAUCAAAAUUUUAAAUCUAUUUUUUUAAAAAAAAAUUAAACUUUGAAGUUGAGUGGAUAAUUCAAAAUACGAAACUAAAUUUUGAUUUAUUCAAAUUCAAACUUAAAAUUAUAAUUUUAAUUUUAAUUUUAAUUCAUAAAUUUAAUUUAAGUUUGAAAUAAAAUUUGAAUGAACUUUAUAUAAAUUAAAAUUUAAUUUAAAUUCAAAUUCAUAAGAUAGAUUCGAAAUACUUAAUUAAAUUUUAAUUUUUAAUUUAAGUUCAAAUUAAAAUUUAAAAUUAUAUAUUUAAUUUUUAAAUUUUAACUCAUAUUUUAAUUAAAAAAAUUGAAAAAAUAAAUUUAAUCCGAAUAAAUAUCCAUUCCAUCCCGAUUCAACUUCUAAUCCGGCCUUCUAAGCCGGAUUGAAAAAAUGGGUGAUUGAGCGAUUCCCAUUCCACUCGGGAAUCGAAAUCGGAAUAGGACUCCCACGUACCAAACACCCACAAACGGAUUCAUUCAUUCCCAUUCCGAUUCCAUGAUAAAAAAGAAGCGAACCAAACACGCCCAUAGAGUAGGGUUAGAAUACUUGUAAAAGUAUCAUGGGGGUGAUACUUGUGUGUUUUUAGUCCUUGGAUGGAGAGAUGCGAGGUUGAGAUGAUGGCGGUAGGUGGUGGUAGGUGGUGGUAGGUGGAA
rnacentral:lncRNA from 1 species